GAUGAACGCUGGCGGCGUGCCUAAUACAUGCAAGUCGAGCGAACGGACGAGAAGCUUGCUUCUCUGAUGUUAGCGGCGGACGGGUGAGUAACACGUGGAUAACCUACCUAUAAGACUGGGAUAACUUCGGGAAACCGGAGCUAAUACCGGAUGAUAUUUUGAACCGCAUGGUUCAAAAGUGAAAGACGGUCUUGCUGUCACUUAUAGAUGGAUCCGCGCUGCAUUAGCUAGUUGGUAAGGUAACGGCUUACCAAGGCAACGAUGCAUAGCCGACCUGAGAGGGUGAUCGGCCACACUGGAACUGAGACACGGUCCAGACUCCUACGGGAGGCAGCAGUAGGGAAUCUUCCGCAAUGGGAGAAAGCCUGACGGAGCAACGCCGCGUGAGUGAUGAAGGUCUUCGGAUCGUAAAACUCUGUUAUUAGGGAAGAACAUAUGUGUAAGUAACUGCGCACAUCUUGACGGUACCUAAUCAGAAAGCCACGGCUAACUACGUG
rnacentral:rRNA from 1 species